rnacentral:rRNA from 1 species
GACCUGGCUGGGCGGUCCGCUUAACGGCGUGUACUGUCUGGCUGGGCCUUACCUCUUGGUGAGCCGGCGUGCCCUUUAUUGGUGUGCGUCGGGGAACCAGGACUUUUACCUUGAGAAAAUUAGAGUGUUUAAAGCAGGCUCACGCUUGAAUACAUUAGCAUGGAAUAACGGAAUAGGACG